AAGUAACCGGAGGAAGGUGGGGAUGACGUCAAAUCAUCAUGCCCCUUAUGACCUGGGCUACACACGUGCUACAAUGGUUGGUACAACGAGUUGCGAGUCGGUGACGGCGAGCUAAUCUCUUAAAGCCAAUCUCAGUUCGGACUGUAGGCUGCAACUCGCCUACAUGAAGUCGGAAUCGCUAGUAAUCGCGGAUCAGCACGCCGCGGUGAAUACGUUCCCGGGCCCU
rnacentral:rRNA from 1 species